UAUGAAGAUGAGGUACUGUGUGAUGUUGUUCCGAUGCAAGCUGGACACUUUUUACUUGGUCGACUGUGGCAAUCUGAUCGACGGGCCAAGCAUGAUGGUUUCACCAACAAGUACUCAUUUGCGUUCAACCAAAGAACAAUCACUCUAGUUCCUUUAACGCCGCAACAGGUCCAUGAGGAUCAAGUGAGGUUAAAAAAAGAGAGUGAUCAAAAGAAAAUGAGUGAGAGU